rnacentral:rRNA from 1 species
GCCAGACUCCUACGGGAGGCAGCAGUGGGGAAUAUUGCACAAUGGGGGAAACCCUGAUGCAGCGACGCCGCGUGAGCGAAGAAGUAUUUCGGUAUGUAAAGCUCUAUCAGCAGGGAAGAAAAUGACGGUACCUGACUAAGAAGCCCCGGCUAACUACGUGCCAGCAGCCGCGGUAAUACGUAGGGGGCAAGCGUUAUCCGGAUUUACUGGGUGUAAAGGGAGCGUAGACGGCUUUGCAAGUCUGAAGUGAAAGCCCAGGGCUCAACCUUGGGACUGCUUUGGAAACUGUAGAGCUUGAGUACCGGAGGGGUAAGCGGAAUUCCUAGUGUAGCGGUGAAAUGCGUAGAUAUUAGGAGGAACACCAGUGGCGAAGGCGGCUUACUGGACGGUAACUGACGUUGAGGCUCGAAAGCGUGGGGAGCAAACAGGAUUAGAUACCCCAGUA